rnacentral:tRNA from 7 species
GGAGAGAUGGCCGAGUGGUCGAAGGCGCUCCCCUGCUAAGGGAGUAUGCGGGCUUAAACCUGCAUCGAGGGUUCGAAUCCCUCUCUCUCCGCCA